rnacentral:rRNA from 1 species
UACGUAGGGCGCAAGCGUUGUCCGGAAUUAUUGGGCGUAAAGAGCUCGUAGGCGGUUUGUCGCGUCUGCUGUGAAAACCUAAGGCUCAACCUUGGGCUUGCAGUGGGUACGGGCAGACUAGAGUGCGGUAGGGGUGACUGGAAUUCCUGGUGUAGCGGUGAAAUGCGCAGAUAUCAGGAGGAACACCGGUGGCGAAGGCGGGACUCUGGGCCGAUACUGACGCUGGAGGGAAGCGAAAAGCGUGGGGAGCGAACAGG